GACGAACGCUGGCGGCGUGCUUAACACAUGCAAGUCGAACGGAAAGGCCCUGCUUUUGUGGUGUGCUCGAGUGGCGAACGGGUGAGUAACACGUGAGUAACCUGCCCUUGCCUUUGGCAUAACUUCAGGAAACUUGGGCUAAUACCGGAUAGUAGCUCCUGCUGCAUGGGGUGGGUUGGAAAGUUUCGGCGGUUGGGGAUGGACUCGCGGCUUAUCAGCUUGUUGGUGGGGUAGUGGCUUACCAAGGCUUUGACGGGUAGCCGGCCUGAGAGGGUGACCGGCCACAUUGGGACUGAGAUACGGCCCAGACUCCGACGGGAGGCAGCAGUGGGGAAUAUUGCACAAUGGGCGGAAGCCUGAUGCAGCAACGCCGCGUGCGGGAUGACGGCCUUCGGGUUGUAAACCGCUUUCGCCUGUGACGAAGCGUGAGUGACGGUAAUGGGUGAAGAAGCACCGGCUAACUACGUG
rnacentral:rRNA from 1 species